rnacentral:lncRNA from 12 species
UUUAUAAAACACACUUGUAAAAAUGCCUAGGCCUGGAUGGUGGCAUUCAGCCAGAAGUUCUGGAGGUCUUCAGGUGUGAAUAGAUGAAUAUAAACAAUACAUGUAAUGUCUCCCUCUUUUGCAGUUCUUGUGACCAUGCCAACACAGGUGUCCAUGCAGCUUUCUCUGGUCCCCUGGGGUCCUUUCUGGGUCCCCUUUUUGCAAAGUCCCUAAGGGCUGAGCAGAGCCCCCACAGAGAAUAACAUUUGGUGCUUUGUGCCGCAGUGCUGCUGGGAGUUCGAGGGUAGCUUGCUGGGGGAGACAAUCAGAAGACUAAAACUGAGAAAAACUGUAACUUGAGAUAAAAGUCAGGGGUGUCCAGGAAGAAGUGAGAAUGUGUCUAUGGCCUGUUAUUCUGAUCCCAAACCCUCACACACACUGUGCCACCGACAGCUGUUGGGCAUGAACAUGGACACACUGACCUGUGGGCGUCCCCCACCCCUGAAACAUGAACGGACACCAAGCGAUCUACUGCACAGCGCACUGGAGACACACACACUCAUCAUGAAAGCUUGCUAUGCUUUAUUGUUGCAGCCAGGCCCGUGUGGCAGCUGGUCUUCUCAGGGGCUCUGGCUCUACAUCUCGAAGUCAUCUACCGGCUCACUAAACGGUCCCAAGUCAUCCAAGGCGUCCGGCUCCUCCUCCUCUUCAUGGUGCCUGUGUCUCCUGAAGGACCGGCGCUUGACAGCCGAGUGGCGGCGUCUCGCAACCCGGCGCCUCCGCCGCGUGCUGCGGCGGCGGGAGCGGCUGUGGCCGGUGCGCCGCGUCUUGCGCAGGCGCCUGUGGCUCCGGCUCCUGCUCCGGCUCCUGCGGCGUCUGGCCCGCCGAUUGUAACCAGCCAUGGUGGUGGUGGUGCUCGCUGAGCGCUGCGAGCCACUGCCCUGCUUUUAUAGGGCUGCCGGGGUGCAGCCCUUUGUGAUGCAAGCCGUUUUCAG